rnacentral:rRNA from 1 species
CCUACGGGAGGCUGCAGUGGGGAAUAUUGGACAAUGGGGGGAACCCUGAUCCAGCCAUGCCGCGUGUGUGAAGAAGGCCCUCGGGUUGUAAAGCACUUUCAGUGAGGAAGAACGCCUGGUGGUUAAUACCCAUCAGGAAAGACAUCACUCACAGAAGAAGCACCGGCUAACUCCGUGCCAGCAGCCGCGGUAAUACGGAGGGUGCGAGCGUUAAUCGGAAUUACUGGGCGUAAAGCGCGCGUAGGUGGCUUGAUAAGCCGGUUGUGAAAGCCCCGGGCUCAACCUGGGAACGGCAUCCGGAACUGUCAGGCUAGAGUGCAGGAGAGGAAGGUAGAAUUCCCGGUGUAGCGGUGAAAUGCGUAGAGAUCGGGAGGAAUACCAGUGGCGAAGGCGGCCUUCUGGACUGACACUGACACUGAGGUGCGAAAGCGUGGGUAGCAAACAGGAUUAGAUACCUCAGUAGUC